rnacentral:rRNA from 1 species
UACGGAGGGUGCAAGCGUUAUCCGGAUUCACUGGGUUUAAAGGGUGCGUAGGUGGGUUGGUAAGUCAGUGGUGAAAUCCCCGAGCUUAACUUGGGAACUGCCACUGAUACUAUCAGUCUUGAAUACCGUGGAGGUCGGCGGAAUAUGUCAUGUAGCGGUGAAAUGCUUAGAUAUGACAUAGAACACCAAUUGCGAAGGCAGCUGACUACGCGAGUAUUGACACUGAGGCACGAAAGCGUGGGGAUCAAACAGG